rnacentral:rRNA from 1 species
UGACAGUACUCCUACGGGGAGGCAGCAGUGAGGAAUAUUGGACAAUGGAGGCAACUCUGAUCCAGCCAUGCCGCGUGCAGGAAGACUGCCCUAUGGGUUGUAAACUGCUUUUAUACAGGAAGAAACCACUCUACGUGUAGAGUUCUGACGGUACUGUAAGAAUAAGGAUCGGCUAACUCCGUGCCAGCAGCCGCGGUAAUACGGAGGAUCCAAGCGUUAUCCGGAAUCAUUGGGUUUAAAGGGUCCGUAGGUGGACAAUUAAGUCAGAGGUGAAAGUCUGCAGCUCAACUGUAGAAUUGCCUUUGAUACUGGUUGUCUUGAAUUAUUGUGAAGUAGUUAGAAUAUGUAGUGUAGCGGUGAAAUGCAUAGAUAUUACAUAGAAUACCAAUUGCGAAGGCAGAUUACUAACAAUAUAUUGACACUGAUGGACGAAAGCGUGGGGAGCGAACAGGAUUAGAUACCCUGGUAG